ensembl:lncRNA
AAGUGAGAAGCAGAUAUUUGACAGUUCCUGGGGUAGCUCAGAGAAUUAACAUUUGUGCGUGCUCAGUCUCUCAGUCAUGUCCGACUCUUGGCGCCCUCAUAGACUGUAGCUCACCAGGGUCUUCUGUCCAUGGAAUUCUCCAGUGACAUCCAGGCUUGCUCCACUGUCAAGUUUCAGGUUCCCCAAGGAGAAUCUGCUUCCAGUGAAGUGUGAGAGCAACCAGCCACAGUACACAAGGGCACAAGCAUCUGGGCCAUGAGAGUGAAGAUGCUGCCAUGCCUCAGGCAGCCUCCGGAAGCCUCAGCUGUCUGCUCCUGAGAGUAAGAAGGAAGAAGGUCAUGACAUGCUAGUUGUCGUUCAAUCACCAACUCGUGUCCGACCCUUUGCGACCCCAUGGACUGCAGCACUCCAGGCUUCCCUAUCCAUCACCAUGUCCCAGAGUUUGCUCAAACUCAUGUCCAUUGAGUUGGUGAUGCCAUCCAACCAUCUCAUCCUCUGUUGUCCCCUUCUCCUCCUGCCUUCAGUCUUUCCCAGCAUCAGGGUCUUUUCAAAUGAGUUGUCUCUUCGCAUCAGGUGGCCAGUAUUGGAGCUUCAGCUUCAGAAUCAGUCCUUCUAAUGCAUAUUCAGCAUUCAUUUCCUUUAGGAUUGACUGAUUUGAUCUUCUUGCAGUCCACAGGACUCUCAAGAAUCUUCUUCAGCACCACAGUUCAAAAGCAUAAAUUUGCUGGCACUCAGCCUUCUUCAUGGUCCAACACUCACAUCCAUACAUGAGUAUUGGAAAACCAUAGCUUUGAUUAUACGGACCUUAGUCAGCAAAGUGAUGUCUUUCCCCUUCAUGGAUCACAGCCUUGUCGUGGCAAAGGGGCUUGCAUAGCUCAUUGAAGCCACAGGCCAUGUUGUGCAGGGUCACCCAAGACAGACGGGUCACAGUGGAGAGUUCUGAAAAAUGGUGGUCCACUGGAGAAGGGAAUGGCAAACCCCCUGCAUUCCCUCUUGCUGAGAGAACCCCACAAACAUGAACAGUAU